rnacentral:tmRNA from 1 species
UAUUUGCUGAUUUUCUUAAUUGAGGAUCUAUGGUAAUAAACGGUUUUUGUAAUAAACGUUUGGACCUGGGGGCGGUUCCCAGCACCUCCACCAAUUUUUAAAAUCAAUAUAUUGUGGUUUUUAUUAGGGGGUGAAUAGCUUUCGACAAUCACUAAAGGAAAAUUUUUUACUCGGUUGAGAAACUGCCGAUUGUUUGGUUAUGCCAAUCAAUAUCCGUUCAAAAACAAUAAACGCAAACGAUAACUAUAAUCUUGCGAAUGAUAAUUUCGAAUUUCAACAAGUGGCAAUUGCUGCUUAGUUGAUAAGUGAAUUAUCGGGGUUUGCUUGGCACCUGUCAACAGAAGCCAAGCGUUAAUACUAAUUUACAAUAACAAUGUCUAACAAGAUAC